UUUGCAAGUCCACAGCUGCAGCCACUACAUCAUUUGUUUCCUGGUCUUUCCAUGAUUUGCCUGAUGAAACAAACAAACUGCUUUAGAAAGGAGAUAAAAAGAAAAGAUCUCACACUCUGGGAGAUGCCAGCUGCCAUGGUGCGAAGAGCCCUAUAAAGAGAGUGACACCUGAGUCCCGGCUCCAGUCAAGCCUUUAGAUGUCUACAGCUCUGGGCAGCAUCUCCAGUACAACAUCACAAGUGACCCAGAGACAGACACCUUCUAAAAUCUAUGAGAAUCUAUAUCUACAUCUGUCUGGAGGCUCUGAAGCAGUUCCACGGGAAGCUGGAUGGAAGCUGUGGUCGCUACUGUCUGAGAACAGCCUGAGAAUUUCUAAGUGAUGAGAAGAAAAAACCAGACCUGGAGAACUAGAUGAUGCCAGUGUUGGAGAAGUCUGCCUGAAUAUGAAGGAAUCUGAAAAUAAUUAUUCUGGGGGAGGGGUGGUACUUACUCAAAAGACCAAAAAUGUCAGGUCAAAGAUUUUCCUUAAGUAGGAACAUUCCAGUCCCUUCUUGAUGUUUUUGGAUCAAGUCCUACGAUGAGGUGAAAUUCUGCAUAAAUCACCUUCCCAUGUGCUGCUUCCCCUGCAUGUUUCUCCCAGUCCUGUGAGGGUGGGGUGGGGCAAGGAGUCAUUUGCCUCUUUAUUGUCUGGAUCUCUGAUGAGAAAUUGAAAAACCUUGGUUUUACUCAGUCUGGCUUAGACUGUGCCAAGACUUAGUCAAAACAAGUAGUUGAAAGCAAAGAAUCUUUGCCAACUAACUCUGACAUUUGGCAGUUCUCCAUCUUAGGUAGAUAGCCCUCAUCUGUGGGGCCACAGUUCACCACCCAACUGCCUUUUUCCUGUCUCCCAGGGUCCCAGCAUUCUUGUUCCCAUCCUUCACCCCUUCCCACAGUAGCUGAAAGAGGGAGGGAUGUGGGGGUAUCAGAGGACAGGACAGAAUCCUUUGGACUGCUUUGAGCCACUCCUUCUGGGCUCAGGAAUUGAUAGAGAGAAGGAAAUCAGUAAGCAUUUAGGCUGUGGUAGCGUUUUGAUGAUUUUGUCUGAGGUCUUCACAUUUGGCCUCAAUUUCUCAUAAAAUCAGCAGUUUCUCUUCCAUUUGUCUUUCUCCCCCAAUGACUUUAGGUUUCUCAGGGACCUCCAUAGACCAUCUUUGCAGCAUGGGUUGGUCAAAUGUUUCCCAGAUUUUCUGACCAAUCACCAUGGCUUCAUGGCACUUCUUGGCAAGAAUCACAAGUGUCUAAAACAUCUUAAAGUAGCUGACAUUAACUAACACAAAUUUGUGGUACUUUAUCUUACUCAAUUGCCUGAAUUAAAGUUUUGAAAAAAUGUUUUAUGUCACAGGCCUAAGUUGGAGUUAACUCUAAUCUUAAUUACUAAUUGCUCAAGUGUUUCAGGGUAUUGAGCAGUGUCAGCAUGGCCUCUCACCCCAUAAUAGCAGGAAUUACCUUGCCAUGGUGUCAUGAGCCGCCUGCAGCCCUUGCUGAUACCAGCUUCACCCAUUGGAAUAUUUUCAGUGUGGCACUAUAAUGAAAAAAUGCUGUUAUGAAUAUUUAUAACUGUCUCUGGUAGACAAAUUCAUUUAUGUGAAGAAAUGAAAUAGCUGAGUCAGAGAGCAUCUAUUCAGCUUUAGUAGAUUUUGCAAAAAUGGUUUUCUAGGGAAGUUGUAAAAAUUUGUAGUUUUUCAAGCAUUUUACGAGAAUUCCAUUUGAUCUAAAUGGUUGGCAACAAUUGAUAUCAUUUGUCCCUUUCAUUUUAGUCAUUCUGGUGACUAUGACUAAUUCAUAUGACUAAUUAAAUCGAAAAUUUCUCAUAUGUUUAUCAGAGAUCCUCUUUUUCCAGGUACAUAUUUAAGCUUUGGUCCAUUUCCCCUUCCUAUUUGGUAUUCUUCUUACUGAUUUACAAGAACUCUUUAUAUAUGCUGGGUAUGAGAACUUUAUCAGAUACAUUAAAAUAUUUUUCUGGGAUUAUUUUUAACAACUGAUUUGUAAUGGUUGAAAAAAUAGAAAGUAUUAGUAUAUACUUACUGAUCAGAAGAUAAACAGAUCAUAAAUAUAUAUU